GCCAACAGAGGAGGAAGGUGCUGGUACUGAUGUCCCCACCCGAGAGUCUGUCCUGGCCUUGGUUUUCCACAGUGAGGGCUCGUUCUAAUGUUGCACAAUGUCAUACUCAGAUAUCACUGUGACCUGUUACUAUGCUUUAGAACCCGAGAGGCCUCUGUUCACAUGGCAGCAUGUGUGAGUGGAUGCUCCCGGAGCAGGUGGAGUGGUGGCGCUGGAUAGCGUUAGUUAAUGUUCCAUAUAAAGAAACUGUCAUGUGACACCAGUACCUCCUAAAAUUGGUCAGUGUGGUAGAUGGUUUAGAGAAAAAAGGAACCUGUUCCACAGGGCUGUGACCAUUCGAGGGAAGCACAUUCAAAGAUGUAGAUCCCCUCAGAGAAGUUUUCCAUUUCCCUGAAGUUAAAGAUCUUCAAAUGACUGCAAAUAACAUGAGGAUAUAUAGAAAAAUGCCCUUCCCCAAUUUCCAAAUCGUGAAAAUUUGGCUCAGCAGUUAACAGAAGGAAACUAGAAUAAGAGGGAAUUCACCUCAGCUGAACAAACCAAGCUUCUCUGUAUCAUCUAGCAAGCUCAUAAAAAUGCCAUCUAUAGAUUGACUUUAAUAAAGGAGCCCACUGAGGACACAAGCACCUGAAUUACAGAUUCCCAGUGCACACGCAAGCAUUUAUCGCUGACAGACAAAGGAACAAAAUCUCCAGGAGGCAGCUGGGAUCUUUUCAUUUUGAAAAUGCUUUAAUAAGUGUUGACAACACUGUUUUGCAAAAUGUAAAGGUGUACACUUAAAGCGUUCUGGGAAUAUGAAUCCCUUCUGCACCCUGGAAUCACCAGUCCAGCCAUGC
rnacentral:lncRNA from 10 species